CGAAUGUNNNNUANUGGCGAACUGCUCAGUAACACGUGGACAACCUGCCCUUAGGACGGGGAUAAACCCGGGAAACUGGGUAUAAUACCCGAUAGGUCUCGAUUGCUGGAAUGCAUCGAGAUUUAAAGCUCCGGCGCCUAAGGAUGGGUCUGCGGCCUAUCAGGUAGUAGUGGGUGUAGCGUACCUACUAGCCUACGACGGGUACGGGUUGUGAGAGCAAGAGCCCGGAGAUGGAUUCUGAGACACGAAUCCAGGCCCUACGGGGUGCAGCAGGCGCGAAAACUUUACAAUGCUGGCAACAGCGAUAAGGGAACCUCGAGUGCCAAGUUACAAAUCUGGCUGUCGAGAUGCCGAAAAAGCAUUUCAUAGCAAGGGCCGGGCAAGACCGGUGCCAGCCGCCGCGGUAACACCGGCGGCUCGAGUGGUAACCGUUAUUAUUGGGUCUAAAGGGUCUGUAGCCGGCCGGAUAAGUCUCUUGAGAAAUCUGGCAGCUUAACUGUCAGGCUUUCAGGNNAUACUGUCUGGCUCGAGGCCGGGAGAGGUGAGAGGUACUUCAGGGGUAGGGGUGAAAUCUUGUAAUCCUUGAAGGACCACCAGUGGCGAAGGCGUCUCACCACAACGGACCUGACGGCAAGGGANGAAA
rnacentral:rRNA from 1 species